rnacentral:rRNA from 1 species
CAUUAACGAGUUAGGUGCUUCUUGCACCAACUUCCAACCCUUGCGAAUCAACUCUUUUGCUUGGUGGGCCGGGCUUGCCCCGCUGACUCCCAGCGAGUGCCCGCCAAAGUUUUUCAAAAAUCUGCUGAAACGUGUCGUCUGAAUACAAAUUAUCAAUUGACAAAAACUUUCAACAACGGAUCUCUUGGUUCUGGCAUCGAUGAAGAACGCAGCGAAAUGCGAUAAGUAAUGUGAAUUGCAGAAUUCCGUGAAUCAUCGAAUCUUUGAACGCACAUUGCGCCCUCUGGCAUUCCGGGGGGCAUGCCUGUUCGAGCGUCAUUUCACCUUCCAGCCGAGCUGGGUAUUGGGUAGUCCGCAGCAGUGGGCACCUUAAACUUAGGUGGAAGAAGCAGCCGAAAUCUUUAGCGCAGUGACACUUAUAAUCUCGCUCUAGGUCGGUUGGUGCUUUCCCAAAAUCUCUCGCUCCUAUGCCUAGGAUUGAGAGAUAUUUCCAAAGAUUGACCUCGGAUCAGGUAGGAAUACCCGCUGAACUUAA